rnacentral:rRNA from 1 species
GAUGAACGCUGGCGGCGUGCUUAACACAUGCAAGUCGAACGAUGAAGCCCAGCUUGCUGGGUGGAUUAGUGGCGAACGGGUGAGUAACACGUGAGUAACCUGCCCUUGACUCUGGGAUAAGCCUGGGAAACUGGGUCUAAUACUGGAUAUGACUUCUCAUCGCAUGGUGGGGGGUGGAAAGAUUUAUUGGUCUUGGAUGGACUCGCGGCCUAUCAGCUUGUUGGUGAGGUAAUGGCUCACCAAGGCGACGACGGGUAGCCGGCCUGAGAGGGUGACCGGCCACACUGGGACUGAGACACGGCCCAGACUCCUACGGGAGGCAGCAGUGGGGAAUAUUGCACAAUGAGCGCAAGCCUGAUGCAGCGACGCCGCGUGAGGGAUGACGGCCUUCGGGUUGUAAACCUCUUUCAGUAGGGAAGAAGCGAGAGUGACGGUACCUGCAGAAGAAGCGCCGGCUAACUACGUG